rnacentral:lncRNA from 1 species
CUUCAUCUGCUCUGACAGCCUCCGCCUUGAACUCUGCUUCUUGAUCUCACAUGAAGAAGCCGGAGAAAUUCUGUCAGAAGAUAACCGCUCUCAGGAUGAGGGUAAAAAUGCAUGAUCUACUCCAGUGGGAACAGGGUCAAACCCAACGGUCUCAAGCAUGAAUGAAGUGGGAAAGGUCUCCAUCUUUAUCCCUCAACACUCAAGACAAUGUUUCUCAAUGUCAAGGUCUCCCAGCAUUUAACACUGGAUCCCAGAAGCAUGUAGUUCUUGCUGAUUACAUCACGUGUGGACCAGGUACCCUGGUCAUCAACUCUUCCUGUGGUAGCUGUCAGGAUCUUCCCUUUCCAACUGCAUAUCUGUAUGAAGCCAGACUUCAUAUAAUUCAACAGAACCAUGAUGUAGAACAAUACAGAUGAAAAUCACAUCUGGAAUCAAGAUGUCAGCCUCUAAAGACAGUUUAAAAAUAUAAUCCAGCAUUGAUUUCUCUUAUCUUUUUGCUUUGAAAACAACGUGUUUACUAGG